UACGUAGGGGGCGAGCGUUGUCCGGAUUCAUUGGGCGUAAAGCGCGCGUAGGCGGCUUCGUAAGUCGGCCGUGAAAUCUCCAGGCUUAACUUGGAGGGGUCGGGCGAGACUGCGGAGCUCGAGGUGGGCAGAGGGCAGUGGAAUUCCGGGUGUAGUGGUGGAAUGCGUAGGGAUCCGGAGGAACACCAGUGGCGAAGGCGGCUGCCUGGGCCUGGCCUGACGCUGAGGCGCGAAAGCGUGGGGAGCGAUCCGG
rnacentral:rRNA from 1 species